rnacentral:rRNA from 1 species
UGGGGAAUUUUGGACAAUGGGCGAAAGCCUGAUCCAGCAAUGCCGCGUGUGUGAAGAAGGCCUUCGGGUUGUAAAGCACUUUUGUCCGGAAAGAAAUCCUUGGCUCUAAUACAGUCGGGGGAUGACGGUACCGGAAGAAUAAGCACCGGCUAACUACGUGCCAGCAGCCGCGGUAAUACGUAGGGUGCAAGCGUUAAUCGGAAUUACUGGGCGUAAAGCGUGCGCAGGCGGUUUGCUAAGACCGAUGUGAAAUCCCCGGGCUCAACCUGGGAACUGCAUUGGUGACUGGCAGGCUAGAGUAUGGCAGAGGGGGGUAGAAUUCCACGUGUAGCAGUGAAAUGCGUAGAGAUGUGGAGGAAUACCGAUGGCGAAGGCAGCCCCCUGGGCCAAUACUGACGCUCAUGCACGAAAGCGUGGGGAGCAAACAGGAUUAGAUACCCUGGUAGUCCACGCCCUAAAACGAUGUCAACUAGUUGUUGGGGAUUCAUUUCCUUAGUAACGUAGCUAACGCGUGAAGUUGACCGCCUGGGGAGUACGGUCGCAAGAUUAAAAACUUCAAAUGGAAUUGACGGGGUCAUAGCUGUUUCCU